rnacentral:tRNA from 1 species
AGUAAGAUUGCUGAAUUGAUAGGUGGUAGACUGUAAAUCUAUUUAUUAGAAUAUUUCUCUCUUAUCA